rnacentral:rRNA from 1 species
AUGAAGACGAAAGGGCGCCAACGCCGUGAGAACCGGCUUGUCGAGGACAGGGAGUCCCGGCAGGUGACCUUCUCCAAGCACAAGUCCGGGCUCUGGAAGAAGGCCUCCGAGCUCGCCCUGCUCUGCCGCGCCAGCCUCGUCGUCGUCGUCUUCUCCGAGGCCGGCAAAGGGUUCGCGUUAGGCAACCCCUCCACCGACGUCGUCCUGGCCUACGUCGGCUACGAUGACGCGAUGUUCAUCCUGCUGCCGCUUCCACUGACGACGUGGAGUGGGAGGCCCUGGAGGCGCUGUGCCGGGAGACGGAGAAGAAAGGCGUGGAGGUGGCCGCGGAGGCCGCGCGGAUGA